rnacentral:rRNA from 1 species
UACGAAGGGGACUAGCGUUGUUCGGAUUUACUGGGCGUAAAGCGCGCGUAGGCGGAUCGCUAAGGUCAGGGGUGAAAUCCCAGGGCUCAACCCUGGAACUGCCUUUGAUACUGACGGUCUGGAGAUCGGGAGAGGGAUGUGGAAUUCCAGGUGUAGCGGUGAAAUGACGUAGAUAUCUGGAGGAACACCGGUGGCGAAGGCGGCAUCCUGGACCGGUAUUGACGGCUGA